GAUGAACGCUGGCGGCGUGCCUAAUACAUGCAAGUCGAGCGAACAGACGAGGAGCUUGCUCCUCUGACGUUAGCGGCGGACGGGUGAGUAACACGUGGAUAACCUACCUAUAAGACUGGGAUAACUUCGGGAAACCGGAGCUAAUACCGGAUAAUAUAUUGAACCGCAUGGUUCAAUAGUGAAAGACGGUUUUGCUGUCACUUAUAGAUGGAUCCGCGCCGCAUUAGCUAGUUGGUAAGGUAACGGCUUACCAAGGCAACGAUGCGUAGCCGACCUGAGAGGGUGAUCGGCCACACUGGAACUGAGACACGGUCCAGACUCCUACGGGAGGCAGCAGAAGGGAAUCUUCCGCAAUAGGCGAAAGCCUGACGGAGCAACGCCGCGUGAGUGAUGAAGGUCUUCGGAUCGUAAAACUCUGUUAUUAGGGAAGAACAAAUGUGUAAGUAACUAUGCACGUCUUGACGGUACCUAAUCAGAAAGCCACGGCUAACUACGUG
rnacentral:rRNA from 1 species